CCUGCAAGUGGAGCGUUUUUCCCCAAGGUCAAAUCUUUCCUUAUUGAAGAUUCACCCAAGAGACAUCAAGAUGACCUCUGGCCAGAGACUGAGUCAUCUUUGCAUGACAUCAACACGACCUGCUUCUGCAGGCCCUUGGGGAACAGAGCAGAAGCUCUAUUCCAGAUCUAAGAUGGCAGCCUGGGAACCCUUUCCAACCAUGUGCAUAUAAGGAUCUUGACACGGAAAUAGAUGGUACAGUUUUCCUCCUUGUAUAAUUCAUUCUGGUUAUCCACACACCUAGAACCGUGAAGUUUAUAAUCUGCUCCUUUCUAACUGCUGCUUAUAGAAAUAUAUUUGCCGAAGUCAAUGAGAGCCAUCGGCAAUAUGAGGAAUUGAGAAGUGAAGCCAGCUGGACUUCCUGGGUAGAGUGGGGACUUGGAGAACUUUUCCGUCUUACAAGAGGUUUGUAAAAUGCACCAAUCAGUGCUCUGUAAAAGUGCACCAAUCAGCGCUCUGUAGCUACUAGAGGUUUGUAAAAUGCGCCAAUCAGUGCUCUGUAAAAACACACCAAUCGGCGCUCAGUAGCUAGCUAGAGGUUUGUAAAAUGGACCAAUCAGCACUCUGUAAAAUGGACCAGUCAGCACUCUGUAAAAUGGACCAAUCAGCAGGACAUGGGCGGGGACAAAUAAGGGAAUAAUAGCUGGCCACCCCAGCCAACAGUGGCAACCCGGUUGGGUCCCCUUCUGCGCUGUGGAAGCUUUGUUCUUUUGCUCUUCACAAUAAAUCUUGCUGCUGCUCACUCUUUGGGUCCCUGCCAUCUUCUUUAAGAGCUGUAAC
rnacentral:lncRNA from 10 species